rnacentral:rRNA from 1 species
GACGAACCGUGCGAACGUUGUUCGGAAUCACUGGGCUUAAAGGGCGCGUAGGCGGGUGUGCAAGUCUGCGGUGAAAGCCUCCAGCUUAACUGGAGAAGUGCCGUGGAUACUGCAUAUCUUGAGGAGGGUAGGGGCAUCUGGAACAUUGGGUGGAGCGGUGAAAUGCGUUGAUAUCCAAUGGAACUCCGGUGGCGAAGGCGAGGUGCUGGACCCUUUCUGACGCUGAGGCGCGAAAGCGUGGGGAGCGAACAGG